rnacentral:rRNA from 1 species
UACGGGGGGGGUAAGCGUUGUUCGGAAUUACUGGGCGUAAAGGGCUCGUAGGCGGCCAACUAAGUCAGACGUGAAAUCCCUCGGCUUAACCGGGGAACUGCGUCUGAUACUGGAUGGCUGGAGUUUGGGAGAGGGAUGCGGAAUUCCAGGUGUAGCGGUGAAAUGCGUAGAUAUCUGGAGGAACACCGGUGGCGAAGGCGGCAUCCUGGACCAAUACUGACGCUGAGGAGCGAAAGCCAGGGGAGCAAACGGG